ACGCAGCGAGCCCAAGGCGUAGACACGUACGGUAACGGCUAAUAUAAUUUUCACAAAUGUUGCGAAAGUAAUACAAAGCACUGUGGGUAAGUAUUUACGUUCAUUGUGCACGCAGAAGCGUGACGCGCUCAUGGAUUUUAUCCAAUUAGAGCACAAAGAAAUUAGCCGAUACUAGACACGUGAGAUGGUAAUCACGUUUGACCCUGAACGUUUCACCCCUGACCGUGAUCUUGCAUGCACACACUGCAAGUACGACAUGAUCGGUGAUCUGGUGUUCGUCCAGUCCAUAUUUUAACAGACAUUUCUUUAAUAAAUAUGUCGCGAUUUUGUAAAUGUAUGCCGAUAAGAUACGGCUGUCAGCAGCAUGGCGAGAAUAUUCUUUCAAUUCCAAGAUUUAAGGCUUGGAAUAGACCUUGGAUUCCGGCUGCUACAUUGUCACCAACUGUAACAAACCAUGAACAAUACAGAAUAUAUCACAGAGCUCCACCGAUCGACCCGGAGUGGGUGGCAUUACGGCGACCAAUACGACCGCCGCAGACCAGCAUGUGCUGUUUACACGAGUACCAGCCACAGAGGACGGCGCCCCUCCUACGACCCCUCCACCUCUGGCACAGCACGGCCGUUCUACAUGCAAGCAACAGGACGCACGGGUACUUCCAGCACGACCGAGGGUUCCACAUAUCGCGACCCUCUUGGAAAGAACUGGACGAGACGGACACAAAAGUCGAGAAGGCCGUCAAAGUCCUGAAGGAGAAGAGGAAAGAGAAGCAAAUCGCCGAGGUGGUCGGGGCCACGACGCCCUCCGCUCAGAGGGCGGAGCCUCCGCCCACUACCCAGGAGGUGGUCCUCCCCAAGAAACCCCUCAUGACGAGAAUCUGGGACGAGGUGAAGCAUUACUGGAACGGCUUCCGUCUGCUGGGCGUGGACUUUAAGAUAUCGGCCCGGCUGCUGUGGAGAGUUUUGAAUGGGCACACGUUAACCAGACGGGAAUACAAGCAGUUUACCCGAACGGCCUCGGAUAUGUUCCGCAUCGUACCGUUCUCCGUCUUUAUCAUCAUCCCAUUUAUGGAGUUUCUGCUGCCUGUCGCCCUGUGGCUGUUCCCCAACAUGCUGCCCAGCACGUUCCAAUCCCGAUCCGACAAGGAGAAGAAGUUGAAGCAAGAGCUGAAGGUCAAGCUGGAGAUGGCCAAGUUCUUGCAGGACACGAUAGAAGACACAGCACUGCACAGCAAGAAGACCAAAGCCACUGAAAGGGCCAGGCAGUUUGCGCACUUCAUAGAGAAGAUACGCACAAGCGGGGAGCAGGCUAGCAACGAGGAGAUCAUCAAGUUCUCCAAGCUGUUUGAGGACGAGCUGACGUUGGACAACCUGAACCGGGAGCAGUUGACGGCCCUGUGCCGUCUGCUCAGGCUGCAGCCCGUCGGCACCAAUAACUUCUUGCGCUUCCAGCUGCGUAUGCAGCUCCGGUCCCUUAUGGCCGACGAUAAGAUGAUUCAGAAGGAGGGUGUGGACAGCCUGACCGUGGCCGAGCUGCAGGGGGCGUGUCAGGCCCGGGGCAUGAGGGCGUUGGGCGUACCCGUCGAGAGACUAAAGUCACAACUGCAACAGUGGUUGGAUCUUCAUAUCAACGAGCAAAUCCCGACGUCUCUGCUUCUUCUGUCGCGGACGCUCUACCUGCCCGAAACGCUCUCCACUCCAGACCAGCUCAAGGCUACUAUAGCAUCCCUACCAGAGGCAACAGCAGAGGAGGCAAAGGUGAACUUGGCUGAGUUGGUAGGUGAGAAGGUGGACAACACGGACCGGCUGAACAUCAUCCGCAAGGAGGAGGAAGAGAUUAAGAAGGAGAUGAUGGAAAGGGCGGAGCAACAGGAACAAGAGAAGAAAAAGGUUACAGAGGCAAUGGCAUCCGAAGAGUUAGUGGACGAUGCCAAAAUACAGGCCCAGCACGUCAUCAUGGUCCUGAGAGAGCCGCAACGGAUCGAAGAAACUACUGAAACGGAUAAGGCGGAUGACGAACUGAUGACCAAGGAAGACCUGCAAGAUCUCGGAGAGGUCAUCAAGGAGAUUGCAGAGGAGAAGGAGAGCAUGUUGUCUGAGAAAGGAGAACUGCAGGAGCUCAGGCAAGACGUGGAGGAAUAUCGAGAGGAUCUGGAAGACCUGAAGAAGGUGGUGGAAGCGGACGAGGCGGACGUGCCCAAGCUGGUGGAGGCCAAGUCCUCGGCCCGGCUGGGCAAGCGCGUCAACCGCAUGGUGUCCCGCUUGGAGAAGAUCGUCGAUGAGCUGGCGACUGAGAAAGAGACCCUGGUCAAGGAGAAGAAGGAGCUGGCGGAGGACUGGAAGCUGAGGAUGAAGGAGGAACUGGAACCGAGCCAGGAGAUGUCCGACAAGAUGGAAAGCCAGAUGGAUAUCAAGAAAAAGAGCAUCUUAAGGGUUGAGGAGCUGGUGAACGCCAUGCAGAAGUUCGGCAAAGUGUCGGACGAGAUGAAGUUGCAACGCAUCUGCGAGGUGCUGGACGAAGACAAAGACGGCGUCAUCAAUAUACAAGAUGCUAUGAAGGUGAUUGAGCUGAUCGCCAAGGAAGAUAUUGCUCUCAGCACCAAGCAGGUCGGGGAGAUCAUGGACCUGAUUUGCAAGGAGGAGAUUCUGGAGGAACUGGAGGAAGCGGUGGAACGAGAGGAGCAGGCUGUCAUGGAAACCACCAAAGAGAGCAAAACUUAAAUCCAGGGAUAUUUAAAAAAAGUUUGUAUUUGGUUUUAUAAAUAUUAGAUGUCCACUUGGGUAUUGCUUUCUUUGGGGUAUUUUUGUGUUGUGCAAAGAAGCGUAAGUGCUUGUUUAGUUGUGGUUUGAGAGUGCGGGUUCGAACCCUACUGGGGGACAUGCGUUGUCCAUGAGCAAGGUACUGUGCUUGGAGGGUUGUGGGUUCGAACCCUACUGGUGGACAUGCGUUGUCCAUGAGCAAGAUACUGUGCUUGUGACUUGUGACUGGAGGGUUUGGGUUCGAGCCCCACUGCAGGGCAUGCUUUGUUGUCCUUGAGCAAGGUACUGAGCUUAUGACAUGUGACUUAAGGGGUUUGGGUUCGAUCUCCACUGCAGGGAAUGCUUGCUUGUCCUUGAGCAAGGUACUGUGCUUCGAGGGUAGUGGGUUGAGCCCCACUUCAGGGAAUGCUUGGUUGUCCGUGAGCAAGGUACUGAGCUUAUGACAUGUAACUUAACAGGUUUGGGUUCGAUCUCCACUGCAGGGAAUUGUUGGUUGUCCUUGAGCAAGGUAUUUUGCUCUGCUUGCCUUUGAUUGGUUCCAGGCUUCUUACAAGAGUAUUUGAGGAACAGUUUAAUCCCCCCAAGAAAGAGUGUAUUUCGAGUAAAAGACUAGACAAAGACUGAGAUUUUAUGUGCAGUUGCUCCUGGUAAAAUUAAAAAGAAACACAAAUUGUCUUCAAUCUAUAAGAAAUGACAUUACAUUGUUAUUUACUACAUUAUAUUAAUUCUCAAUGAAUACAUAUUUAUGCAUACAGCGCUGGAGCAUUUUGGAGCACAGAGAAAGAGGCUGGGCGAUUCGGGGCGGUACAGGUCAAAAUGAUACUUUCCCCGUGGUGAUCUAGGCUGUAAAGUGAGACAAAUGUUGGGCAGGAUGAGUUUCAAAAUACAAUAAUUUAAAACUAUAAACUUCCAUUGUAAAGUUUGAUAUAUAUGUAUAUUGUUCUUUUAUUGUAUCGGAUUGUCAGAAUCGUCAAUAUUUUUUAAUCCAUACGGCAGUAUUUAGUAUAUGUAAAUACCUGUAUCUGAUAAAGACAUAUUCCUUGUGUUGAACUACAAGUGCAAAGACCUAUGGUUUUUUAGACGAACUUGAGUGUUUUUGAGAGUAUCGCUAGAAAAAUUAUUUAAAUUUGGGGAAAAAAAGUUUGAUUUUAGUUGAUGAACGGAUGUAGGAUCUUUACCUUCAUGGCAGUUGGUGCAUGUGCUAUCCAGUCUAUGUAAAGAUAUCACUGGGUGACAUGGUGUACACAAUAUGAUUGCCUACAGAAAUUGUGUUGAUUGAAAUGAAAUAUACAUAAUGAGAAAUAUGCUGCAUAUGUCAAGGAUGGUGAAAAUUUAAUGAAAUUCUAAUCCGUAUUUGCAUUUGUUUGUUUGUUUGAUUUUUAUGUUAUUUCAGAAAAAAAAACGAUUUAUUUAUAACAAGAAAAUUAUAAGCCUGAUUGCACUUGAAUUUGAAUUAAGAAAGUUUUUGUAGACGUCUGUGGAAAUGGUAAAAAAAAAUUACUUGUACAAAUACUGUUGAAAUAUGUUUAAGUAAGAAAAUUGAUUUUAUUCAUUUAAUAAUUGAUUUAGUAACUUUAUACAUUUAGCGGACGCAUUCAUGACCUAGAACAGUGGUAUCAACUCCGAUUAAAAACAAGUCCAGACAAGCCUUAAAAAAUUGG
rnacentral:misc_RNA from 1 species